rnacentral:rRNA from 1 species
AACGAACGCUGGCGGCGCGCCUAAUACAUGCAAGUCGAGCGAGAAGGUGUAGCAAUACACUUGUAAAGCGGCGAACGGGUGAGGAAUGCAUGGGUAACCUACCCUCGAGUGGGGAAUAACUAGCCGAAAGGUUAGCUAAUACCGCAUACGUUUCCGGAACUUCGGUUUCGGAAAGAAAGCAAUACCGUGGGUAUUGCGCUCCUGGAUGGGCUCAUGUCCUAUCAGCUUGUUGGUGAGGUAAACGGCUCACCAAGGCUUCGACGGGUAGGCUGGUCUGAGAGGACGAUCAGCCACACUGGCACUGCGACACGGGCCAGACUCCUACGGAGGCAGCAGUAAGGAAUAUUGCGCAAUGGACGAAAGUCUGACGCAGCG